AUGCACUUCUCCAGUUCCUCACUGGGAUGUCGGGACACAGCGCCCUCGCCGCGUCGUGGCGCCAUGAGACAGACUGCUGCGAGUGGGAAGGCAUCAUUUGCAAUGAGCAUGGGGCCAUCACGGAGGUCUCCCUGGCAUCUAGAGGACUCGAAGGGAGCAUCUCGCCGUGCCUUUGCCGACCUCACCAGCAUGCGGCGUGUCAACCUUUCGCACAACUCCUUCUCCAGUGGCCUUCCGAUGGAGCUCAUGUCCUCCGGAAGCAUCAUUGUCCUUGAUAUCAGCUUCAACCGUCUCAACGGACUGCUGCCUGAGGUGCCAUAUUUGUUUACCACCGAGCGGCCUCUGCAGGUACUCAACGUCUCAAGCAACCAGUUCAGCUCAGAAUUUCCAUCAGCCACAUGGAAGGUGAUGAAGAAUCUGAUCGCGCUCAACGCCAGCAAUAACAGCUUCACUGGGCACAUGCCGUCUUCUCUUUGCAUUGGCUCGCCAUCUUUGGCUUUGCUUGACCUCUGUCACAACCAAUUGAGUGGCAACAUUCCGAACACACUGGGUAAUUGCUCCAAGCUCAAAGUGCUCAAGGCUGGCAACAACCACCUAAGUGGGAUUCUCCCUGUUGAAAUCUUCCACGCAACCUCGCUGGAGUACCUCUCCUUCCCCAACAAUGGUUUGCAAGGAGAACUUGACGGAGCACACAUGGUCAAACUCAGUAAUCUAGCAACUCUUGACCUAGGAGGGAACCAGAUCAGUGGCAACAUCCCAGUCAAUAUAGAUCACUUCAAGAGGCUGGAGGAGCUACAUUUGGGUAGCAAUAACAUGUCUGGGGAGCUGCCAUCAUCUCUGGGCAACUGUACAAAUCUCAAAACCAUCGAUCUGAAGAUCAAUAACUUCAGUGGAGGGAAAGGUAAACUUCUCCGCCCUGCAGAAUCUAAGAAGUUUAGAUCUCAGGAGGAAUAA
rnacentral:rRNA from 1 species